GGUGACGGCGGGGGCUUGGCAAACCCCACCUGGAGCAAAACCAAAUAGGGGAACGACUGAGGGUGGUCCGCCCGAGUUCCCGGGUAGGUCGCUUGAUCUCGACGGUAACGUCGAGGCUAGAUGAAUGGUCAUUGUCCCGAAGGCGGGUGACCCCUUCGGGAAACAAGACCCGGCUUAUGGCCUUCUCUGACAC
rnacentral:RNase_P_RNA from 1 species